rnacentral:misc_RNA from 1 species
UCGCUGACAGCGCGCAGAAGCCAGGUGAACGUCUGAUCGAAAAGUAGGCAAAUUCAUCAGAAACGGUCCCGUUUCUGAGAAAUAUAUGAAUGUAAAUUCGAUCAGUUUGCAUAUUUCUUUCAAAAUCAACAUCUUAUUGAAACGAAAUGGUUGAAACAGAAAGAAAUUCUAACAACCUCUGUGCGGUUACGACGAAAUCAGACGCAGUGUUUGAAGCAGUCGAUUCGAGUAGGCAGACGAAAGUUCAACGUAUGCUGCACAAGUUGAAGUCGACUACAGUGAAAGGAAUGACAAUAAUAAAAGGACAGCGCAACUUAUCUGCAGCAGAACCAACACCAGUAAAACCUGCACAGGAACAACAUGAUGAUAUGAUGGAUGAAGCUGAUCUUUCUCACUGCCCACUCCAAAGUAAUUUUGAGAACAUGAUGGAGAAAAACCAAUGGAAAGACUUGGUCAUCCUGAUAAAGCAAGCACUUUCUUCUGUUGGAGAUGACAAAUUUGGUUGUGAGUUGCUGAUUCCCUGUGGUUUAGUGAUGUGUAUAGCGAGGGAUAUUAUGGCUUCAGCUCGCAAGGAGCCAUGUGGACUAAGAGGGUGUGUCCUGUUUAUAAACCUAGAGGACAAAAAUAAGUGCCAAAAUCUUGUAAAACUUUACUGUGAUCCAACAACUGUGUCAACAUUUGAACUGUACCUGACUCUGAAAGAGGACACAAGAGGAUGGUGCAAGCUAAAAAAAUUCUUCAUUGCCAUCAGUGGGUACCUCGACAAAAAGAAAAAUUUAGACCUGAAGUUUCUGUGUUCUGGAUAUGGGCUCGACAAAAAGAAACUAUACCGACUUAAUAACUAAGAUGUUCAAUAUGCAUUGGUGGUCAAAGUUUUUCCAUGAUCUUUCAAAUUCAUACUCGAAUAUUUUUGUGAAAUUGUUCUACAUUCCGGUUGACAAUGGAAUGAAAGUUAUUCUUAGUUUCUGAUUGUAACUAUUUUGAGCCAAGGUUUCAUAGAUGAUUUAAUGUAAGUUAUGAGAUUUAGUGAAAAAAAUGUUCUGAGCAAGUACAUGUAAGAGUCUAGAAAGUGUGCUGAGGUAGUUGCCUUCCUGUGUCAAUUUCAUACAGAAAGAAGUGACAAUAAGGGAAUUUUGCCGUCCUAUGUUGAUUCCAAAUAAUCCAGAGGUGCAAUUUUAGUUUGAGAAUUCAACUUCCUUUGUUGAAGCAAAAGCAAAGUGACUUUACAUGGUCGGGGUGAAUGAUCCCAGAGACAAAUUUAUGUUAGGGAGGAUUAAACCUUUUGUGACAGAGAACAGGGUGAGAAGGCAAGAUGACUUCAGUGAAAUUAAAGUUAUGCCUAUGACAACAGUUACAGGUAUUGAAUGCCAUGAUGUUUUAGUGCUUGCAAUAAAUGUAUCAAAAUACAUAUACCUGUCAAAGUAAAUGGCCAUAUUUAUUCAAGACAUUAAUUUAGGACAAAUUUAUAUAUGUAUGAAGAAUAUGACGGACAGCUGACUUGUUUAGAAUUCAAAAGAUUUAUCCGGUGCUCAUCAUUUUUCAAUUUAUAACAAAAGUGUAGAUCUCGCUUAUGUAACUGUUGAAACAAAUUUUUGUUCAUUACUGUAUUAUUUUGUAUAUCAAAUUAUAUUUUAUAAUGUGCCAAAGGUGGAAUAUUUGUUUAAUUCAAAAUUAAAUGUGCAAUAAGCCGACCAUUAAAUAACAUGUAAUUUUGUAUUGACCAAGAUGCAUCAUAUGCUACUUAAAGUUUGAAAAUCAAAAUUCAGAUGAUAAACAUUUGAUUUUUUUAUUCAUGUUAUUAAAUUUGAUGUAUUAAUUUAUAAAUAACUUAUAUUUGUUUAAAUAGAAAUAUGGGCUUAUUUUAUUCUGUUCUAGAAUUGUAUGUGAUGAUUGAUAAACCAUGCACUUGUGGAAAUGCUUAAAAUAAAUGUUCAUAGAUAGCUUUUGAAAAGAAAUAAAACAUUCUUUUCGGAAAUGUAUGUUAUAAAUUGAAUCUCAGUUAAAAUAUAUUGUAUGGAUAUGCUUGUGUUAAGAUGUCAAAUGAGUAAAGGAUGUGAUAUUAUCAGGUACUAGGUGGAUGAUGGAUGUGAUAUUAUCAGGUACUAGGUGAAUGAAGGAUCUGAUAAUAAAGGAUGUGAUAUUAUCAGGUACUAGGUGGAUUAUGGAUGUGAUAUUAUCAGGUACUAGGUGAAUGAAGGGUGUGAUAUUAUCAGGUACUAGGUGAAUGAAGGAUCUGAUAAUAAAGGAUGUGAUAUUAUCAGGUACUAGGUGAAUGAAGGGUGUGAUAUUAUCAGGUACUAGGUGAAUGAAGGAUCUGAUAAUAAAGGAUGUGAUAUUAUCAGGUACUAGGUGGAUGAUGGAUGUGAUAUUAUCAGGUACUAGGUGAAUGAAGGAUGUGAUAUUAUCAGGUACUUGGUGAAUGAAGGAUGUGAUAUUAUCAGGCACUAGGUGAAUGAAGGAUGUGAUAUUAUCAGGUACUAGGUGAAUGAAGGAUGUGAUAUUAUCAGGAACUAGGUAAAUGAAGGAUGUGAUAUUAUCAGGUACUAGGUGAAUGAGUGAUGUGAUAUUAUCAGGUACUAGGUGUUAAAAGGAUGUGAUAUAGUACUCGUAGAUAAUGCUGACCAAUUCAUUACAAGAAUGUGAAUUCUGAUGAUUUCUCAGAUGCAUAAGGUGCAUAUUACCAAAUAAAUUAAGUCAUUACAAAGAACAUUAAAAUUAUCAUUUUACUUUCACAUAUUCACAGAAAAGGGUCUGAAAAGAGAACGUUCGGAGGCCAUAUUGAUACCGAAUUUAUCUGACAAUUACCCUUUCCUGGCAAGCUCAUCCAUAUCUAUUGCAUCAUUGUCCUUCCAGAGUCAUAGUUUAUGUGGUGGCCCAAAAAGGGUGAGCUUAUUGCAGAAUAAACAUGGUACCCUUUUUGGGGAAAGGUUGUUAACUAGUUUGGUGCUAAACUAAUUUGAGCUCAAGAUUAGGUUUAAUUUUCUCUAGCAGAAAUGUUAGCGUGCCAUUCUCUCCUAGAUCAGACUAUAUUGAGACAAAAAGUUCUUGUGCUCGAACUUAUCUUGUGUGGUUAAGUUCAAUCCAUUUCCAUAUUGAAAAUGAAAAAGAACCCUUUAAAUUUAUUAUACUAUUUGAAAAUUUUGGAGGUAAAUUGUAUUUGGCGUAAAAUUGUAGCUACGAAUCAUUGCUACUUUUAAUUAAAUUUAUUUUUUCAUUCCCUUGCAAUGAGUAAGUGAUUUACCAGGAAGAUGGUUUGAACACGUGUACGAGUUUGAGUAAGUGAUUUACCAGGAAGAUGGUUUGAACACGUGUACGAGUUUGAGUAUGAGAAUUGCUUUUGUAUAUACUGAUUUUUCAUUUCCUCAAGGGGCAUUGCCAACAGUCUGAUAACAAAGUUGAUUUGUAGAAAUAAACAGGAUUUUUUUCUUUUUAGAUCCACUGUUCAGCUGGUGUUUUUAUGAUUCAAUUUUAAAAAUUGUGAUUUUUAUCAGCAGUAAAUACACCACAAUGCAUCUCGGUUUGAAUUCCCAAAGUCAUUAAACCAUUAAAUUAACUUGAAGAUUAUUUUGAAACCAGUAACAGAAAGACAUAAUUUAGAAAGAUCUACCUUUUGGAUCUGUCAAAACUUGAAACUUUUUUUUAUUAUAAAUAUAACUAGUGUUAUUUCACUAAUGGAUGUAUAUAUAUAUAUAUGUCAACAUUCCAAUAAUGGAACCUCAAACAGACAGUAAAUACAAAAUGACUAGCAUUGUGUUUAUUUUCUUGUGAUAUUAAAAUGUUCCAAAAUUGUAUAUAUAUAUUUUUGUGCAAUAUUGAAUAAAAUAUUUGUUAUCAAU